UGAUAAUACCAUCAAAAUUUCAAAUAUGCAUCAAGCUCUGAUUCUAUCUCAUCAUGUCAUAUUAGUCAUUCUUGGUAUAUUCUUAUCGGGACUUCAUGCUUAAACACAGUAUCAGAAGGAAAGUUCUAGUGGUGGGACAGAAAUCAAGGAACUUAUCCUCGACUAUGUAAGUUAGGAUACACUUUGAAUAUGAAAGGUAUACUAUACAUAAUGCUGAACAAUCAGUGGCAUGUACUAGUAGAGGUUCAGUGAAAUGCUUGCUUGAUGUAUUUCGAAAGUAGAGAAAUAAAAAAAGACAACAAACGGCUGAUGAUUUAUAGGUCAUCAAAUCAAAAUGCAAUAGCACUCAACUUAUCAAAUGCAGCAAGAUGAAUGUUACACUUUGAGAGAAUAAACUCACCUCAG
rnacentral:misc_RNA from 1 species